rnacentral:rRNA from 1 species
CUACGGGGGGCUGCAGUGGGGAAUAUUGCACAAUGGGCGCAAGCCUGAUGCAGCCAUGCCGCGUGUAUGAAGAAGGCCUUCGGGUUGUAAAGUACUUUCAGCGGGGAGGAAGGGAGUAAAGUUAAUACCUUUGCUCAUUGACGUUACCCGCAGAAGAAGCACCGGCUAACUCCGUGCCAGCAGCCGCGGUAAUACGGAGGGUGCAAGCGUUAAUCGGAAUUACUGGGCGUAAAGCGCACGCAGGCGAUUUGUUAAGUCAGAUGUGAAAUCCCCGGGCUCAACCUGGGAACUGCAUCUGAUACUGGCAAGCUUGAGUCUCGUAGAGGGGGGUAGAAUUCCAGGUGUAGCGGUGAAAUGCGUAGAGAUCUGGAGGAAUACCGGUGGCGAAGGCGGCCCCCUGGACGAAGACUGACGCUCAGGUGCGAAAGCGUGGGGAGCAAACAGGAUUAGAUACCCGAGUAGUC